ensembl:lncRNA
GUUCUGCCUCUGCUUACACAACACCAGCAGUUUGUUUUAUGCCGUAUCAGGCUGUUCGCCAGCAAUUACUUCUUGGCCUUAUUAAACAGUUCAAGGCUCAGACAUCUCUGGUUGUAAGAGAUUUGAUUUGUUAAAGAGCAUAUGGUUACCUUUAGGUAACCACAUGUACUGAUGUGUUUUCCUCUGCAGAGGUGAAAGAGACAAAGAGGUGGGAGCAGAAAUGCUGACAUGGGCAGGUUCCUGGGGUGCAGCUCCAGAUCUGUGGGUAUGGGGGACAAAGGUCUCAUCUCUUUUUUGGGGCAAGAAGCAUGAAACAGUGGGAACUUUGGGGGUGGGAACUCCAGAGGGUUCGGUGAAGGAGGAGUACAGUCACUGGGAGACAAAAUGGAGAGUGGGUAAAAUUUCUGUGCCACCGACUGGGAAAGUCCCCCAAUAUCCCCAGGACUUUGGCAUUUGAAUGAUUUCACAUUUCAGAUAAGGGAAAAAGUCUCAGCCUGUUCCUGUGAACCCCCCCGCCUCCAGGUCACCUUCUGCAUUCACCACCUGAUUUGCAAAUGGCUUUUGACCAAUUUUCCCCUGGUAGAUUACUUCUCACUAUUACUCUUCUGCGUUGCUGCAGUACUCACCAAUGCCAUGCUGAGAGCACCCAGCUCCGACUGUGGGAAAUGAGAGGCGAAGCUCAAGCUUCACAAAGUCGAUUUCUGUCUGCACAGGUCAGCUAUGCUGCAGCAUGGUUUUUUGAAAAGCUGCAGAUGCCCUGACAUCAAGGGAGCUGUUGUUGUUCAUGUGCAGCAUCCACUGAACAGACUGCAGCUCAACAGCAGCUUCAUUCUGGUGCUGGAUUGAGGCGGGUGGCUGCAUUGCAAUGCCAACGACACAGCUGAAGUUGGGGGCACGUAGGCGGCACUGGGAAGCCAGCAUACGGUUCAGAGACAGUGGUGGCUCUACUCACCAAAAGGGCUUGGUGGCUGCCAAGUUAGUCCUGACAUCCUUCAAACUCCAAAACAGAAAGAAGAGAGGAAGAAACAAGAAGGCACUUUCAACCAGAGACUGUAAGUUUGCACCUCGUGUCUGAAAGCCUUGGGCCAUUUUGCUAGGAUGGUGUCAACCUUGAAAGCCCAUUUUGCAGUGCAUAAAUGGUUUGGUUACAGCAGAGUUUUAGCCUUAAAUCUGAAUUUACUUUGCAGUCGUGGGUCUAUAUCUGUGUUUUGGCACCAUGUUCUCAAAAGCCUAUUCUUUUUCCUGGCUUAAUCCAAAAAAAAAAAAAAAAAAAAAAAAGCUUAGAUAAUGUUCAUCGACCACAUUUUCUUUGCAUGUAUGAGACUCCAUGCUUUCAUUUUACUCAGAACAAGCAGUAACAAACUGGGUAUGUUUUGCCCAGAGAUCAGAUCUAAGUCUCAGUUUAUACUCACCAUUUUUUAUCAGCCUGUCCUUGUUAAUAAGAAGCACCUGUCUGGGGGCUGCUGAUCGCUAUCAGCACACUCUCCGUAGCCAGCGCAGAGACAGCUGCCAGCAGAUUGCAGCUUGAGCCUAUAGGAUGAGUUUCUCUAAGAUGAGCCCUCCAAAGCCGUGCCAGGUGCCCACAGAUCAGGAUAGCUGGCUGCAGCACAGCUCCUCCACUCCUGCAAAGUCAGCCUUGCAGUCACCACCACCAUUUGGCAUAUUUUGCUUUGCAGCGGUGGGCUGUCAGAUUCACCAGUGGGGACAGGUUUAUAGUGGAACUUCCUUGCACUUCUUUUGUGGUUCGUUUUCUAGUUAUUGUUUAUUUCACUUGUCAAGAGAAAGCCUGAAAUACACUCUAGGUGAGGACGCUUGUUUGUUCAGCUAGUGACUCAAAACCACAGUGUUCCUUUGUUCACAAGGGGUGAAGGUCCCCGUGCAGAGGCAGGCACAGAGCCUGCAUGCUGGUUACGUGCCCUUCACGUGGCAGAAGCAGAGCUCAGGCACGGCUCAUAGGGUUGGCUUUGUGCUGCCUUUCUGCAAAGGUGAGGGCUUUGCUCACUGAGCCUUUCUGGAGCAUUCUCCGCACGCACAUUCAAAAAUUGUUUGUAAUGGUAAGCUGAAAGUUUGUUUAGUGCUGGCAAUUCAGGUAAUCCUGGCAACGCGUGUGAAACCACUCAGUGAAUUUGUGGGUGAAUUCCCUCAGCUGCUCUCUUUUCACGGUUUGGAGCCAUCCUCCUCUUUCUGGGACACCUCUACAGCAGUACCUCUCACCUGGUGCCUGUGGGCUGUGGGAGCAUGAGGCGGGAAGACCCCGGCACCAUGUGGAUCAGUCUCACAAACGAGAAUGGAGGAUGCACUCUCUGUUCAGUUCAGCCAUGGAUGAGCAGCACUGCAGCACUGUGAAGGGCAGGCCCUGGGCUGCUUGCUUGAACACCUGUCCUGAGGCUGGGGGGAUCUGGUUCCUCCGCUCUCCCACCCCGUGGGUUCCAGUAGGCAGCUGCCAGCUUUGCUAUCUGUCACUGGUGACGUCCUUUGCUUAUCACUGCAGAACCUUUCUGCCCCGCUAACAUCACUGUGGCUGCAUGGCCUGAUACUGAGUACAAUCUCACUUCCUUCCUGUUUCCCUUGUGGCUGCACACUGCUCUGUGGCAGGGCCCGGUGCCAGCAGGCCCCACAUGGCCGCCCUCGCUCCCCCUCAGCACAGCAGCCCCAAACCUGGCUGGUCCUCUCCAGCCCUGUGAGUGCUUGGUGCAGGGGUGACCGCCAGCCUGCCUAGAGGUUAUUUUUAAUGCUGUUCCCCUGCUUAGGCAUGGCACGUUGGGGCCACCUGUUUCUUUCACAACCUCGUCUUGUUUACAGGCACCAAUACAACAGAGGAGGCUGUUUGAGGUCUAGUAGCCCUCAAAUCUCAUCUCUUUUACUUUCACAUCUGAGAAGAAGUAAAGAAGUGGCUCUCAGUAUGACCAGUGCUUUGUGAGUAUGCAAGAGAUGGAAAAUAGUGAGUGCUAAAGAGACUGGAGUCAUUAUGGCAGCAGUGUAUGAGAACAGGGCCAGGCCCGGAUGUGGUAACAUCCUUCCUCUGGCAGUGCGUGGCUCAGACACACAGAGGUGUAAAGCAGGUUUUUAAAGCAACUGCAACCAACUAUCGCAUCUUCCUACUCUUCUAACAUUUCUUUCUCCUCCUCCAGCCUUCAUUGCCAAGGCUGCUUUAGACUUCACUGCAGUAAGGAGAUUCUGGACUUCAUGGCAAAUCAGCUCAGCUGCAGCCGGCACCCAGGCACAUUUGGAGUAUACAGCUCAGAGGGCGGAUUUCUGGCGCAUUGGCAAACCCAGGUCCACCUUCUGCCCCUCCUGCAUCUCUCAGCUUCUCUCAUCCAUCCGUCUGCUUUAUCUAAACUCCUACCCAAAUCAUGCCAGUAUUCAGCCCGAGCUGAGAGCAAAACUCACAGAUAUAAGGCAGGAAAAUUAUGAAUCAACAUUUAUUGAUGAUAUAUACAGAAGAGGUACAACACUUAGUGAAAUACUAUAUUCGCAACUAUUUCCAGUAUAGAAAGAAUGUCCAGUUUGUUUUAUACAUGAAAGUUACAGAAUUCAGUUCACACCGUAAGAAAGCAUUAAAACCAAAUGACUACAGAUAAGUGUAAAGAUCUGAACUACAAAAAUAGACUUAGUCUACAAAGCAUUCCAGCUACAAUAUACAAGAACAGAGCCCGGAGUUGGGAGAAAUUUUAUCGUCUGCAUUCAUUAGUUAAUAAAGUGUGCUCUAGUUACUGUACAGUAUGUUUCAAAAUCUGGGGAACUUUUUGAGAGUAACAAAAAGAACCAAUCCCACUCCUAUUGCUUUUUUUCCUUUCAGGUGAAACAUAUGAAAAUAUUCCAUCUUGUGACUCUCCCCCACUUUUAAGAGGAGGCAAAAGGUAUCAGCAGCAGGAGCAGGCGGUGCGCUGCUCCGUGCACUGUGAUUCACACUGAAACACCGUAGGAGGACUCAUCAAGAAGGAUACUUCCUGUGCUUUGGGACUUGAUUUUGAUCACUUUCCACUUAAUGGGGCAAGAACACAUUUAUGAGAACCAGGCUCAGGUACCUCAGGCAUGAACCAGCUUUUGUUUGCUUUCCCACCCAAACUCUUUCAGAACCACCUUCAGCUUCCGCCCCAGAAAAGUCACCUUCUUACAGAUCUCAAUCAUAGCUCCUAUUUCUGAAGAAUUUUGCCACUGAAUACAAAGUUCAUGUGUCUGCUGUAUGAUCAGACGUACUUCUUGUAAAAAACAGUCCCCUGGACUUCAACCACAGUGGUUCAAGAAGCACUCAGCUCUGCACUUAUUUCCAGCAGUAUUUUCCAGCAUAUUUUCCUAU